rnacentral:rRNA from 1 species
UAAAAAAUUUGGCGGUAUUUUAGUCUAUUCAGAGGAACCUGUUCUAUAAUCGAUAAUCCACGAUGGACCUUACUUAAAUUUGUAAUCAGUUUAUAUACCGUCGUUAUUAGAAUAUUUUAUAAGAAUAUUAAUUUUCUAAAUUUUUAAAUAAAAAAUAUAUCAGAUCAAGGUGUAGCUUAUAUUUAAGAAGAAAUGGGUUACAAUAAAUUUAUUUAAACGGAUAUAAAUUUGAAAAAUUUAUUAAAGGUGGAUUUGAUAGUAAAAUUAUAUAGAUUAAUAAUUUGAUUUUAGCUCUAAAAUAUGUACACAUCGCCCGUCACUCUUAUUACUAAGAUAAGAUAAGUCGUAACAUAGUAGAUGUACUGGAAAGUGUAUCUAGAAUGCAAUUUAAAGCUUUAUUAGUAAAGUAUUUCAUUUACAUUGAAAAGAUUUUUGUGCAAAUCAAUAUAAAUUGAUUAAAUUUUAUUUAUUAAUUAAUUUUGUUUAUGAAAUUUAAUAUUAAAAAUAAUUAUAUAAUUAAUUGUUUGAGUAUAGUUUAUAAAAAAAAUAAAUUGAAUUAUAGUUUAAUAGUAUUGUGAAAGAAAAUUGAAAUAAU